rnacentral:lncRNA from 1 species
AUGAAACUAUUAUGUGCGGUGCUGCCAUGGCUACUCUCUGUGGGGGAGCUUCAAGCAAAUGUAAAAUCUUUGUAUCCUGACUCUGAAACUACUGAUGUGGUCAAACCUCAGCAGGUCUCAGGUUACCAGUCCAACCUUCAGCUCCGGCUUCCCAACUAUCGGCCCUGGUCACAUUUCCAGAUUCCUAAUUAUCAGUCCUGGUCAGAUUCCCAGGUUCCCAAUUACCAGUCCUGGUUGCGUUCUGAGGUUCCCAACUAUAAGCCUUGGUCACAUUACCAGAUUCCCAACUAUAAGCCUUGGUCACAACACCGGGUUCCCAACUACCAGGCUUCGUUGCCGUCCCAGGUUUCCAGGUAUCAGGUCUGGCCUCAAUCCCCAGUUCCAGCCCACCAAUACCAGGUUGAAUUCCAGGAUCAGGCCUUCCAGAGCAGUACUGUGCCUCAAAGUCAGGGCACCCAGAGAAGGCCUCAGACUUGGAGGCAAGUACAGAAUUCCCAGCACAAGUUUCCGACACGUACCCAGAGGCAGGGCUCUCAGCGCAGGCUUCAGAUUGAGACCCGGAGACAGGGCUCCCAGGAUAUCCUUCAGACUCAGCCUCAAAGCAGAACUUGGCCUUCUCCUAGGGGCAGGGCUUUUCCCAUAGACAACCAUCAAGCUUGGAAAUAGGCUUAAUUAGAGCACAGGAGGAUGCUCAAGAUAUGUCAGAAAAUGCAUCUUUAACUACUUGGACCCAAUUAAAAUUAUCUUUGUAAAAAUAGUAAUAAAGAAACUUCUAUUUGUUACUUGCUGCGAAGCAAAUCUCUUCACUCCUGGAACUGAGAACUUCUGUACAUGCUGCACAGAAGUGUCUCAGAGGCCAAACUGCUGAUCUACUUUACUAGCUUGCACCUACUGCAGACAUGUGCAUCUGCUCCAAUAAGGUGUCGGUUGAGGGAGAUUACGGUCUUUGCUCCAUACAGUGAAGGAAAAUGGAGAGUGUGGUAUUGGGUGAGGGUGCUCUAUGUUUGGAUGGAGCACUGCUGAGCAUAUUUUAGGUUAAUUUCCCCCUUUUAGAUGAGGUCUUUGUAACAAAGUUAAGCUGUUGGGUUUGGCUGGUUUAAAGGGUGACCCACUACCAAAAUACUAAGAGUAAAUGAGUCACUUCUAAAGGCCACUGAAGCUGUUUUGUUCUCACAUGUUGGCCAACAACCUAACAAAAGGUUGGCCUUUUUGUCACCCACAUGUCGAUUCCUAGAAGUAUUUCGAGUUUUGCAACAAAGCGAGCAAACCUACGAUGGUGCUUGGGUUCGAUCAUGAAUAGUCUAACCUUUGUGCCUCCCUGACUUCUAAUUAAAAUCAAGAGUAGUGGAACUAAAAUCAGAUUAGUGAUGUUUUGCUGCAGCGUUUAAAGUUUGUCUUAACAGGCCAUUCACCACCUGAAUUUUCUGCUUUGCAUGAAUCAGUGAAUUUGAAGUUGACACAUUCCUUGUGGUGUAUUUAACACUUACAGUUUGGGUAUUGUGACUUCCCCCUGCCGCUUGACAAAUUGGAGAAGUCAGCCCAGCAACUGUCCUGCAAGGUUUUUAGUAAUGUAUUUAAAGGGGACCUGUUAUUCUUCCCAACUCUAAAUUGUUUUGGACUGGUGUGGCUCUUUAGCUUAUCCUCUUCCUGAAACGAGCUAAACUAGCAGAGGGUAGAACACAGAAAAUACAUGAAUGGAGAAACUGAAGUUCAUGCAGAAGAUUAUGAGUACUGCUGUGAAACUGCUUGGGUUUCAUUUUCAAUCAAUUCGAUGGGGACAGUCUAUUCGCCAGUCAACUGACAAAUGCUUGAGCCCCAAGGUCAGUGGGUGGCCUGUGAAGACUAAGAGUGGCAAAGCAGAAACCUGACUUGCCUAAUUGGGGCCCACCUCCCUCCUUGUAAGCAGUAUUCAUAAUUUUGUUCAAGCAAACUCAAUUUCAAGGCCAACACAAGAAAAGAGAGAAGGGGGGGGCAUAUGAUAAAUAAAUAUAAUGCUAAAUGCAGCUAAUCUGGCCUUAAAUUUGGGGGAGAAAUAUGAGCAGAAAUCUGUGCCAUCAGAAACUGAAUUUGAAUAAGUUAAAUUUGAAUUGCUCGGAUUGAAUCUGACUUGUAACUUGAAUAAAUGCUUUUAAAAACUGAAUAUGAAUUGGCCUAAUUUGAAAUUCAAUUUAUUGGUUUGAAAAUGAUCAUCACUAAAUUGAAAUUGAAUUUUAUUUUUGAAAAUGAAUUCAUUUGCUUUGAAACUGUAUUUUAUCCUUUAAAAAUUUAGUUCUCGAAUAAUUUCACUUCUCACCAUUCAGUUUCAGUUUCAAUUCCAAAAUUCAGUUUUUUGGAACUUACUUCCGGUUCAAGAUGAGCGCAGAUUAAUAGAACUACGUUUUACUAGCGGACCGAAAGUGUUACUGACGGGAAUCUACAGCGUCUUGAGCUGAAUUAAGACUUCAGAAGUCAUUCGUCAUGUCGAAUGACCAGCGGAUAAACUCUCAGGUUGGUAAUAAAUGUAUUACAUGUAUAAGAACAAGCGUCAUGUUAACAAUUGAUAGCCGUACAGUAACUUUUAUGCUUAUUGUAGCUGUUAGCUAAAAACGCUAAUUUAGCCUAGUUUGCCCUGAUUUCAGCUUUGACAAACAAAUAUGAUCGACUGUUUCUAGUAGAAUUCCAAAGUUGUCAUCUUGUACCCUGUCAGAGCCCUGUAUGCUUGCAGAGACCCCUACAGUAGGGAAACAUGCAAAACAGUGUCCAAACCUUUGUAUUUGAGCUUUAUUUAUGUCUUACACAGCAUCCCAACUCUUUAGCUAACUUAAUAACUUUAGCUAAAGUGAAUAGUUAGUCUAAUUCAUUAGUGCAGCGUUACUGGAUCACCUCUGUUUGAAGUAAUAUAAUAUGAUAUACAACUAUCACUGAAACAGCAAACUUUGUAAAUAAACAACACUUCUCAUUCUCUAAACGUUUGGCCACAGCUGUAGAUUACACUAUCAGUGCUUUUUCACUCUUGACAAUAAUUACAUUUCUAAAUUCUCUUUGUGCAUUUACAGGUAAACAAUAUCUAAUAUUUUAUCUAAAUGACUGCUUUGUCUUUGAAAAGGUGAAGAGCCUGAGGCCGGUGACACUCCAGUUCUACUCCAAGUACAUCCUUACGAUGGCUCACAGGACAAGGCUACAUUCCUGUCCUGCCAGAAGAGAAGAGAUUCAAAUUCAGUUUCUGAUGGCACAGAUUUCUGCCCAUAGAGAAAUGCCUGAUAAGCUUCCACUAGCAUAACAUUAUUUAUUAACUUUGACCUUUAACAUUGUUUUAACUUGCAAAGCAAGCAGCUGUGGUUGGACCACUGAAGCAACAUGUUAGCAAAAUUUUUGUAGUUAUAAAUUUCACUCACUUGCAGUCAAAAGCUUUAGAGGUUUUUCUUUUGUUUAAAGUGUAUCCACUGGUUCAAAUUCUGUCGUGAAAACCUGCCAGUUUGAAAAAUUGAAAAUUCAAAAGGCUAAGGAAGUUUUCCACUUAAUGCGUAUCUCCAGAGGAACUUUGGCUCUUGUAUCCCCCUUUUGGAAGAGAUUUUUUUUUUUUUUUUUUCCCCCCCCUGUUGUGCUGUAAAUGGAGACGGUGUAGAUCACAAAUAAGGCCCAUCUGAAACCUCUGAGAUGAGUUUGUGUUCAAUGGAUGGUCAGUAUGCUGGAGAAGAUCAUGUGAUAUAAGGAUCAUGGCAGCAAUGUAUGCGAGCAAGAUAAAUAGUAUGGUGGAUUAUAUAAGAGGAUUAUGAAAAAACAGACAUGUUUGUAUAUGUAACAUGAAUAAAAGUGCAAAACUGUAAAUGCUGUGAUAUUCUGUAUAAUGCUAUAUGAGUUGGCUCGUUGGUAUCUGGUGUAUUGCUGUCCUUCCAAACAUCACUCUUAUUUUAUUCUGGAAUUGGUUUUAAUUUAUUUUCAGAAUGACUGUGUCUCACAUCAGAAUGCAGAAGUUUCAUUAUUCAAGUCUGAGUUGUUUGUAUUUUGCUUUGUUCAGAAACUUAGUCCAGUAAGAACAGAGCUGAAAGAAAAGCUAUUAACCUCUCAGGGAAGAGUCAGGGCAGACUGUGAGGCAGUGCAAUAAGGAGAGAUAAGCUGGAAGAACUGAACGUGAUUUACUGAGCAUACAAAUGAAUGUAUCUGGCGAUUAGAUUCCGAUGGGCCAUCAUGGCAGAAUGGAGUCAAAGCUGUGACUGGAUUUAGGACGGGACACCCAUGGCGUCUAGAUGCUGGUGGUGGUGAAGAUGAAGAUUGAGGCUUGGAUGGAGCUCUUACUGAGGUGCCUGUAAGAUGGAGGUGGGUUGCAUGAAUGAGAAUCUGAAAGGGAGAAUGACGGAGAGCAUAGAUUUAAACCAUGCAAAGUGGAGGCUGAUUAGCUCAGAGAAGGUGGGCAGGAAGAUGAUUGGACUAGAGCACAGAUGUUAGUAUUGAGACAGACACCGUGCGAAAGUGGUAAAGUUGUUGACCUGUGUGCUGGGCCAAGCAGAAGGAUUCAGAGGGGAGAGUUCAGAUAACAUGAUUGUAGCUUAUAGUGCAAAGUGGAUGCUUUGUUGUGAUAACUUUUUCACUCUUUUAGAAUGAGUGACUCAUUUCAGCUGUGCAACUGUGGAUGAUAUCUUGGAGAUUAAUUAAAUCUCAUAGUUGAAGAGUAACAAAAAUGAAUUUUGUCCUACUUUGGUGUGUGGAUGACUCAAAGGUGAAAUUCGAAAACGCACAAGCUUUAAUGCACCUGAAACUGACUCCAGAUGUAAGUGAUUCAGAGCACACUCAUCUUAUUUGUUAAACUAACUGAAUGAUAACUGAAAAGGUGCUCGUCAGUGAUUUCAUACUGGGUGCUUUGGCAGAAUGCCUCCAUCCACAGCUCAGCAAAUGCUUUGAACUGCAUUUAGAAGCAUCACUUAUAACAAAGACAGCCUAAUGCUCUGCACAUCCUCACUUGUUCCAGUCUUUUUCUUGCUAAUUUAAUUUGACCACUUGAUGAAUACUCAGUCCUCCCAGUGAUUCCUGGUGAUGCCUUUACUGGCAAAUGUUUAUGUUAUGUAGUGAUCACAUAUAAAUGUCUGUCCUGUUUUUGUUACGUUCUGAAGCUACUGGUUUUAAAAGUGCCAUUUUUAAAAUCAGGGGACAGAGCCCUCCAUGUUUUAUUUUUUGUAUUUAAAAGACUCUCAUUAGGGGUUAUACAAACUAUAUCUCCAAGUUACUGGACUAACAUUGUCAUCAAUAAGCCAGGAAAGCAUAAAUUUAAACAGGACUUC